CCGAUCUUAGCUCAGUUGGAAGAGCGUGGGACUGUAAUUGGAUACGGGUGCCUAGCAUUAAUUAUCCCGAGGCCGUGCGUUCGAUCCGCACAGAUCGGA